rnacentral:rRNA from 1 species
UCUACGGGAGUCUGCAGUGGGGGAUAUUGCACAAUGGGGGAAACCCUGAUGCAGCGACGCCGCGUGGGCGAAGAAGGAUUUCGGUAUGUAAAGCCCUAUCAGCAGGGAAGAAGAAAUGACGGUACCUGAGGAAGAAGCACCGGCUAAAUACGUGCCAGCAGCCGCGGUCAUAGGUAUGGUGCAAGCGUUAACCGGAUGUACUGGGGGUAAAGGGAGCGCAGGCGGCACGGCAAGCCUGAUGUGAAAGCCCGCGGCCCAACCGCGGGACUGCAGUGGGAACUAGCGGGCUGGAGUGCCGGAGAGGUAGGCGGAAUGCCUAGUGUAGCGGUGAAAUGCGUAGAUAUUAGGAGGAACACCAGUGGCGAAGGCGGCCUACUGGACGGUGACUGACGCUGAGGCUCGAAAGCGUGGGGAGCAAACAGGAUUAGAUACCCUGGUAGUC